rnacentral:lncRNA from 1 species
AAGAACACAAAACUAGAAGAGACCUGGGACCGUCCCUCCCUCCCCCGUCUGUAACCCCCUACUACAGAAUCCCCGCGCGGGCAACACGAACAUCCUCGAUACUGGACGUAGGGCUCCCUUUGCCCGAACCAGUCUAAUCCGUGUCUCCCGUGCUACCAUCUGAGGCUCACGCGCAUAAAAGAAAUUUACUAGUCUAAGUCCUGAUCCGCUGAUCUUGACAACGACAGAUACUUUAAUACAAUGGUGGGUAAUUUAGAUAUCGGUUUAGAGUGUUCCUUUAGAAUAUUUUUAUAAUGAUAAUAGUGGGUAAUGUUUUUAGAAAAUAUAAUAGAGAAAAAGGCUAUAAUUAUAAGAGUCUUCACGUAAAGGACCUUCAAAAGUAGUUUUAAUCAGUACUAGCAAGAUUGAUUUGAAUCUACCGAGAAAUGGAGGGCCAAAGCACAUAACUGUGCCGACGAAAUGCAUGGACACGAGUACACGACUACAUCGCAUCAGAUCAAAGCUUUUGACUAAUUUGAUGGUCACUUGCAGCCGGACGAUAUAGAAGAGAUUUAAAGAGAACAUCUGCUGACUCUCGCCGGAUUUACUACAUUGCACACGUGCGUAACGCAAGCCCACGAGCAUCUGGGGGUG